AACGAACGUUGGCGGCGUGGAUUAGGCAUGCAAGUCGAACGCGAAAGGGUAGCAAUACCCGAGUAAAGUGGCGAACGGGUGAGUAACGCGUAGGAAACCUGCCUUCGAGUGGGGGAUAACAUUCCUAACGGGGUGCUAAUACCGCAUGAAACUGCGGGAUCGCAUGGUUCUGCAGUCAAAGGUGGCCUCUAUUUAUAAGCUACCGCUCAAAGAUGGUCCUGCGUCCCAUUAGCUAGNGGCGGGGUAACGGCCCACCAAGGCAUCGAUGGGUAGCCGAUCUGAGAGGAUGACCGGCCACACUGGGACUGAGAUACGGCCCAGACUCCUACGGGAGGCAGCAGUCGAGAGGCUUCGGCAAGUGGGGGAAACCCUGACCGAGCGACGCCGCGUGGAGGA
rnacentral:rRNA from 1 species